rnacentral:rRNA from 1 species
CUCAAAGAUUAAGCCAUGCAAGUGGUUACAUUAACCCGACAGUUUAAAUAAGUGUUCAAUGCUAUCACGCAUAUAUGCAAUGCAUGCAAAAAUAUAUUUACGCAUACACACACACCCGCGCAUAUAUAUCAUGCAAGCAACGCAUGAAUUUUGUUUACGAUAGUAACAAAAUUUCAGCGUGAAUCACACAUACGCACACAGUGAAUCACAGCGAAAUUUUACAAUUUCAACGUAUCACUUACGCAACUGCAGACAGCUGCUUAAUACAGUCACACUUGUCUUGACUUGGCACACACACACACACACACACACGAUUUCUCUGUAUCGCAUACUCAUACAAGAAGCAAAUUGCGUUACACCGUGACACUUUUUAUCUUUUUUAUGGAUAACUCAGGGAAAGUUUGGCUAAUACGUACGAGUACUAUACACACACACACACACACACUCUAUACACUACUCAGCACUCAAUGGUAAACUUUGAUUUACGUGUAUUCUUACGCGUCUAUCAGUUUAAAGUUUAAUCGCAACAUGAGAGACAUUGAGCACGCACGUGUAAUGUGAAUUUAUUCACGUUACACACCCACGCUGAGCAGACUUUGCGAAGUUUACUUUUGCGAAGCAUGUCAUACAAGCAUCUACAGCAUCAAGUCACAGGGUUGGCAAGUGUAUUUUUGAACCUUCAAAGCAGUCACGCAUACGGAAGAGUAGUUUCUGAUCCCAUAGAAGGAGCACCGUACAAUGAGAGACCGCUCUUAGUUCUAAGGAACGCAGCAGGCGCGUAAAUUGCCCAAUGCUAGUACCCUACAAUCAUACUAUAUUUGCAAUUUACUUUAUUACGCAUUACGACACUGUACUAUUUUAUUCUGUUAUACACACACACACACACAUCCUUGUUCACACGCGUAAGUAAGUUAUUAUAUAUAUACGUAUAUUUUAUUUACUGAGGCAGUGACAAGCUGUAACGGUUGAGUAUAAAAAUGACGAGUGUCUGGCAUUGCCGCUCCUUCGGAAGCUUGGCAAGUUGCCGACGCUUUGUGUGCUCAAUUGGAAUGCGGUGAGUUUAAGCAACUCAGAACCUUUUAACGGUGUUACGUAAAAAUUUCACUGUCGAUGUAUCUGAAUUUCAAGUGGAGGGCAAGUCUGGUGCCAGCAGCCGCGGUAAUACCAGCUCCACUGGCCUAUACAAUCAUUGUUGC